CUCCAAGGGUUUUGGGAGCUGUGAGCCUAGAACUGUGGACAAAGACCAAAUAUAUAUGAGAAAUAUACUUUGGUCAUUCGAAUGACCAAGUAUAUGUUACUUUAAAUCAUAAUAUCGCAGAAAGAGAGACAACUGUAUGGACGUAUGCUGAGUCUUAAAGGAAGAAAAUCUGUAGUGCCAAUGAACAUGAUCCAGCAUAGCCUGAAACUAUGAACUGUAUGGGAAAACGAAUGAGAAAUCUGACCUGUUGAAAUGAAAAAACAGCAUCUCCGGUCAGUCUGAGAAGCCCAUCCUCCCAGGAAGCAGUUUCUGACACGCAGAGCAGGCUCCUGCAGCAAGGUGAUAGCCUGGAAAGCCAGGCCGUUGUGUGAAGAGAGAAGUUUGCAACUUUCCCGAUGGAAGGAGCCUCUACAGCAAGCGGAAUCAGAGAAAGGCCUGACCCUUUUUCACCCUGGGAGAUUCGAGGAAGAAGAGAGAAAGGAACGAGGGCAGUGGAAUAAAGGGGAUGUGUCCCAGGGUUCCCCCUUCCUGGGUUUUGCAAAUGGAGGAGAAUAUGAGGGUGGCCCUGGCAGGCGGGCCAGACAACAGCUGCUCUCCAAAUGCCUGUCCCGGGCGUCUCCAAAUGCCUGUCCCGGGCGUCUCUGAGAGCUGGGCUCAGGGCCGGGGAGAGGACUCGCAAGAACGAGGAAACACACGGCAAAGAACAUCCCUGGCUCGGAAUUCACAAGCCCAGGAUAUCCCUGUCCUAACAGGAGAAGUUCAUAGUCUACUGUGUCUAGAGGCUGAUUUUGUUUUUAAAUAAA
rnacentral:lncRNA from 1 species